rnacentral:misc_RNA from 1 species
CAGAGUUGCAAAACUCCCAAACCCUUGUGAACAUACCUGUACGUCGUUGCUUCGGCGGGUAGCCCAUUUCAGGGCCCAGCCUCCUUGUGAGGUGCCCGCCGGAGGACCAAACACAAACUCUUGUAAUAAUUGGCCUCUCUGAGUAUUAUACAAAUAAGUUA